rnacentral:rRNA from 1 species
AACAUAUCAAGUUUCAUCCAUUCAUAUUUAUUCUAUAUUCAUCAAUCGCCUCACUCCUUCACUUAAUCGACUACACUACUGAAAACUUAAGCACUAUAACUGUCAUAUAUGACCAAGCUGUGUGAGGCCUCCCCACAUUGAGUGGGACGCGCCUCAGGGGGUGGCGGUGCCCCGGCGGGAACACAUGUGAGGCUCAGUAUGGUCCUCUUCACGUCGCUGAGCCUGGUGGUAAAAAUCAUAAUUAUGUUGUUGUUUCAUGUGUUGAGAGAGUAGGGCUUAGUUACUAGAGUUCGUGAGGAGCUACCCCCAUCUUCAAAACGUAGAGUGAGUGAAUCUGAGACGAGGAAAGCCAGAUGAAGACACCCAGCACAUCACAAACCGUGCGCGAGCCGGCCGUGUGGGCCCGCAAGCCAGCCUCCGUCAUUACGGAUGNGGGGCAAGUGGUCGAUGAAGUACAAGUUCACGCACCGCAGACAAAGAACUGGCUUUAUAUUGAGUAUUGUCGAUGACGCUGGACGAUGUGUACAGGGACGGGGCGAAUGCAGGAGAGCGAGAAAGAGAGAAGUAGAGUAGAACUAUGAUGAGAAAGACUAACAAGGAAGCAACGCCCCAAACUACAAUUGCUCGCCUCCUGGCGUGACUACUGCACACGACGCAUGACUAUUGCGGACCUUGGGUAUUGGCACACUUGGCGCGUUGCGCUAUCGAACGUGACCGGCACUAGGUGGGUGGGCCCGAUGAAAGUAGAACGGAGGCGAGAAAGUGGCAGCAAGGAGGCAGAGACCCACAACACAGAACAGGCAAGGCUGACCCGGAGUCACGUCAUGUGUGUUUACCCAAUACCACAAUGCGUCAUCGCCUUAAGGCUUUAACACUACCGACUCAAUGAAAAGAGGAGGGAAAACAGUGACGAAAAACUACAAAGGAGAUCUACAAGCCGCCCCCAGCGCCCUCUCUCCGACUAACUCGUGGGGAAACGUGGCAGGACGCGCUCGGGCACCCCAGACGGGGACCCCCUGCGCCUGUGUGGCAAGUUAGACAAAUUGUCAUUCAUAUCUUUCCAUAU